AUCCGGAUUUAUUGGGCGUAAAGCGUAUGUAGGCGGACAUGUUAGUCGUGGGUCAAAUUUCCGAGCUCAACUCGGAAGCUGCUCACGAAACGGCAUGUCUAGAGAAAGUGAGAGAUGACUGGAACUCAUGGUGUAGUAGUGAAAUGCGUUGAUAUCAUGGGGAACACCAAAGGCGAAGGCAGGUCAUUGGCACUUUUCUGACGCUGAGAUACGAAAGCGUGGGUAGCGAAUGGGAUUAGAUACCCCAGUAGUCCACGCCGUAAACGAUGCAUAUUCAGCAUGUGGAGUAUCGACCCUCUGCGUGUUUUAGCUAACGCGUUAAAUAUGCCGCCUGGGAAGUACGAGCGCAAGCUUAAAACUCAAAGGAAUAGACGGGGAUCCGCACAAGUGGUGGAGCAUGUGGUUUAAUUCGACAAUAAGCGAGAAACCUCACCAGGACUAGAAACUUAGCUGCAAGCCUUAGAAAUAAGGCCGCCUUCGAGGGUGCUAAGCAGGUGCUGCAUGGUCGUCGUCAGCUCGUGCCGUAAGGUGUUCCCUUAAGUGGGGAAACGAGCGCAACCCUUGUCGUAUGUUAUACGUGUCAUACGAGACUGCCCAGACUUUAGUCUAGAAACUUUUUUUGGAACAAAAUUAGUUUGUAGUUUAAAGUCUGGGAGGAAGGAGAGGAUGACGUCAGAUCAGCAUGGCCCUUGACGUCCUGGGCAACACACGUGCUACAAUGGCUAGGAUAAAGGGUUGCCAAACCGCGAGGUGGAGCCAAUCCCAAAAACCUAGUCUCAGUUCGGAUUGGAGUCUGCAACUCGACUCCAUGAAGUCGGAAUCACUAGUAAUCGUGAAUCAGAAUGUCACGGUGAAUACGUUCUCGGAUCUUGUACUCACCGCCCGUCAUACCAAGAGAGCUGGUAACACCCAAAGCUCCUGUGUAAAAGCAGGGACAACGGGUGGGAUCGGUAAUAAGGGUAAAGUCGUAACAAGGUA
rnacentral:rRNA from 1 species